AGCAGCCGCGGUAAUUCCAGCUCCAAUAGCGUAUAUUAAAGUUGCUGCAGUUAAAAAGCUCGUAGUUGAAUUUCGGGACUAAUAUGUCGGUCGUGCCUCGGUACGUACUGGUUUAUUGGUUUCUCCUUUCUGAAGAACCAUGAUGUCAUUUAUUUGGUGUCGUGGGGAAUCAGGACUGUUACUUUGAAAAAUUAGAGUGUUUAAAGCAGGCUCACGCUUGAAUACAUUAGCAUGGAAUAAUGAAAUAGGACGUUUGAUUCUAUUUUGUUGGUUUCUAGGAUCGACGUAAUGAUUAAUAGGGAUAGUUGGGGGCAUUAGUAUUCAAUUGUCAGAGGUGAAAUUCUUGGAUUUAUUGAAGACUAACUACUGCGAAAGCAUUUGCCAAGGAUGUUUUCAUUAAUCAAGAACGAAAGUUAGGGGAUCGAAGACGAUCAGAUACCGUCGUAGUCUUAACCAUAAACUAUGCCGACUAGGGAUCGGAUGAUGUUAAUUUUUAAUGACUCAUUCGGCGCCUUACGGA
rnacentral:misc_RNA from 1 species